GACGAACGCUGGCGGCGUGCCUAAUACAUGCAAGUAGAACGCUGAAGGAGGAGCUUGCUUCUCUGGAUGAGUUGCGAACGGGUGAGUAACGCGUAGGUAACCUGCCUGGUAGCGGGGGAUAACUAUUGGAAACGAUAGCUAAUACCGCAUAACAGUAGAUGUUGCAUGACAUUUGCUUAAAAGGUGCAAUUGCAUCACUACCAGAUGGACCUGCGUUGUAUUAGCUAGUUGGUGAGGUAACGGCUCACCAAGGCGACGAUACAUAGCCGACCUGAGAGGGUGAUCGGCCACACUGGGACUGAGACACGGCCCAGACUCCUACGGGAGGCAGCAGUAGGGAAUCUUCGGCAAUGGACGGAAGUCUGACCGAGCAACGCCGCGUGAGUGAAGAAGGUUUUCGGAUCGUAAAGCUCUGUUGUAAGAGAAGAACGAGUGUGAGAGUGGAAAGUCACACUGUG
rnacentral:rRNA from 1 species